GGACAGAUGACCAAAUAAAUUGUAUCUCAGAAAAAUGUUUCCUGUUCUUUGAAAUCUAGUGUUUUUGAUACUUAACAACCAUUGAGACUCUCUACAUUUCAAGUGCUCAACAGUGAUGUGUCUUUUUGACAACGAUAGCAUGCCGAAGCAAAGCCAAUCCAAGUCUAUGUGUUCUGGAGCUAUGGGAGGGAUGAGGUCAAUGCUCAAGGCAGCUGCUCAAGAGAGAAACUAAAAAUUCCC